rnacentral:rRNA from 1 species
CAGCCGCCGCGGGAAUACGGAGGGUGCAAGCGUUAAUCGGAAUUACUGGGCGUAAAGCGCACGCAGGCGGUCUGACAAGUCAGAUGUGAAAUCCCCGGGCUUAACCUGGGAACUGCAUUUGAAACUGUCAGGCUGGAGUCUUGUAGAGGGGGGUGGAAUUCCAGGUGUAGCGGUGAAAUGCGUAGAGAUCUGGAGGAAUACCGGUGGCGAAGGCGGCCCCCUGGACAAAGACUGACGCUCAGGUGCGAAAGCGUGGGGAGCAAACAGGAUUAGAUACCCGUGUAGUCCCUGUCUUUAUACA